AUUCCAAUCGAACUCGGAGAUAGCUGGUUCUCCCCGAAAUAGCUUUAGGGCUAGCCUCGAUUUAGAUUACCGGGGGUAGAGCACUGAAUGGGCUAGGGGGCCACAAAGCUUACCGAACCCUAUCAAACUUCGAAUACCGGAUAAUUGAUGAUCGGGAGUCAGACAGUGUGAGAUAAGUUUCAUUGUCGAAAGGGAAACAGCCCAGAUCUACGACUAAGGUCCCAAAGUUCAAGUUAAGUGGAAAAGGAUGUGCAAUUGCGUAGACAACCAGGAUGUUGGCUUAGUAGCAGCCAUUCAUUCAAAGAGUGCGUAAUAGCUCACUGGUCGAGUGAUUGUGCGCCGAAAAUGUAACGGGGCUAAACUUGACACCGAAGUCUAGGCAGAAGGAAACUUCUGGGUAGGGGAGCAACGUGUACGGGCAGAAGCAGAAGCGGAAGCGACUGUGGACUGUACAGGAGAGAGAAUGCCGGCAUGAGUAGCGAGAGCAAAGUGAGAAUCUUUGCCGUCGAAAGCCUAAGGUUUCCUGAGGAAGGCUCGUCCUCUCAGGGUAAGUCGGGACCUAAGCCGAGGACAAUAGUCGUAGGCGAUGGACAAUCGGUUAAUAUUCCGAUACCGCCGAGCAACCGGAUGCAGUGACACAGAAGGAUAGGCAGAGCGUGGCGAUGGUAGACCACGUCCAAGCAGUGAGGCUGUUGUGUAGUGAAGUACGCACAACGGAAGGCUGGGCUGUGAUGGGGAACGAUUACGAUCGGUAAGCUGCUGAAUUCACGCUGGCGAGAAAAGCUGCUACGAAGCGAAGGCGCCCGUACCGCAAACCGACACAGGUAGGCGAGGAGAGAAUCCUAAGACGAGCGGGAGAACCCUUGUUAAGGAACUCGGCAAAAUGACUCCGUAACUUAGGGAGAAGGAGUGCCCAGGAAUGGGCCGCAGAGAAUAGACCCAAGCGACUGUUUACCAAAAACACAGGUCUGUGCGAAGUAGAGAUACGACGUAUACGGGCUGACACCUGCCCAGUGCCGGAAGGUUAAGGGGAAAUGUUAGGGCAACCGAAGCAUGGAACUUAAGCCCCGGUGAACGGCGGCCGUAACUAUAACGGUCCUAAGGUAGCGAAAUUCCUUGUCGGGUAAGUUCCGACCCGCACGAAUGGUGUAACGAUUUGGGUACUGUCUCAACAAGGGACCCGGCGAAAUUGUAGUAUGUGUGAAGAUGCACAUUACCCGCGAUAGGACGGAAAGACCCCGUAGAGCUUUACUGUAGUUUAACAUUGGAUUCCGGUAACAUAUGCACAGGAUAGGUGGGAGGCGGAGAAGCAGUGAUUUCGGUUGCUGCAGAGCCGACGUUGGGAUACCACUCUUGUGUUACUGGGGUUCUAACCUGUGGCCGUGAUCCGGCACAGGAACAGUGUUAGAUGGGCAGUUUGACUGGGGCGGUCGCCUCCAAAAGAGUAACGGAGGCGUCCAAAGGUUCCCUCAGAAUGGUUGGAAACCAUUCGAAGAGUACAAAGGCAGAAGGGAGCCUGACUGCGAGACCGACAGGUCGAGCAGGGACGAAAGUCGGGCUUAGUGAUCCGGCGGUAUAGAGUGGAAUUGCCGUCGCUCAACGGAUAAAAGCUACCUCGGGGAUAACAGGCUUAUCUCCCCCAAGAGUCCACAUCGACGGGGAGGUUUGGCACCUCGAUGUCGGCUCGUCGCAUCCUGGGGCUGGAUUAGGUCCCAAGGGUUUGGCUGUUCGCCAAUUAAAGCGGCACGCGAGCUGGGUUCAGA
rnacentral:rRNA from 1 species